rnacentral:rRNA from 1 species
UACGUAGGGGGCUAGCGUUGUCCGGAUUUAUUGGGCGUAAAGAGCGUGUAGGCGGCCAGGUAGGUCUGCUGUGAAAACUCGAGGCUCAACCUCGAGACGUCGGCGGAAACCAUCUGGCUAGAGUCCGGAAGAGGAGAGUGGAAUUCCUGGUGUAGCGGUGAAAUGCGCAGAUAUCAGGAGGAACACCGGUGGCGAAGGCGGGUCUCUGGGCAGUUCCUGACGCUGAGGCACGAAGUUCAGGGGAGCAAACGGG